GCUCUUUCUUCUGAGCGCUCCAGCUCUCCUUCCAGGAUCACCAGCUUCCUGGCCACCUGGGGGAUGAGGGAGAGAAGCAGCAGAGCCUGGGUCUUUCUGUACCCACUGAAAGCAGUAUAAGUGCUGGGACCAGGUCAGAGGAGCUGGGAUUCCUCCACAGCAAAGCCUGGCCCAGCUCUUUCCAGUUAUGGAUGCUACUCUCCAACCACAGGACAGGCACUACUGUCCCCACUGGAUAAAUGUGAAGAGAGAAAGGAGAAACUGAGGCACCAUGCAACAAAUACUGUUGGUUUUUCCCUGAUAUUAUGGAGUCACUUUGUUCCUUUUUGAGAGAAGUUCUGCCUGACACCAAAGUCCACUAGCCCUGAUUUGUCCGCCGGUUGUUUUCAAGUGUAUGUGGUCUCCUGUGAGAAAAGCAGCUAGCUCAGCUCACAACUCAAACGAUUGUGUAAGUGCUUUCCUCCAGACACCACCGUACUUUGGUGUGCAGCUUCCCGAUUCAUCACAUGGAAUAUUGAGAAGACUUGUUACUCAGGGAUUUACAUGGAAUAAAGUUAAUAAUUUUUUAUUGUUUCAUCAAA